UACGUAGGGUGCGAGCGUUAAUCGGAAUUACUGGGCGUAAAGCGUGCGCAGGCGGUUUUGUAAGCCAGAUGUGAAAGCCCCGGGCUCAACCUGGGAAUGGCAUUUGGGACUGCAAGGCUUGAGUGCGGCAGAGGAGACUAGAAUUCCUGGUGUAGCAGUGAAAUGCGCAGAUAUCAGGAGGAACACCAACGGCGAAGGCAGCUCUCUGGGACGUUACUGACGCUGAGACGCGAAAGCGUGGGGAGCAAACAGG
rnacentral:rRNA from 1 species